GGAUUCACCUGAUAUGAAAGUUCGUCUGAAGAUGAUCCACCAGAGAAGUUUGGUUUCAUGAAGGAUCUGGUGGGAGGUCGGUCGGUGAUGGACUUCGGAUGGCGCUGGGGAGGUUCGGCAGAUGUCGGAGGCGAUCGAUUGUUAUAAGAAUCUAGCUGCCGGAGUCCGUCCAUCAUAGAAGCUCGUCCGAUAUCCAUUCGCUAUGGAAG
rnacentral:lncRNA from 1 species